rnacentral:tRNA from 1 species
AGUGGGGUGGAGCAGUGGUAGCUCGUUGGGCUCAUAACCCAAAGGUCGUAGGUUCGAAUCCUACUCCCGCAA